GGUAUUCUCCCGGUCCCAGCAAAGUGUCAGGACUUCCUCUGAGUCCCGACUGCAUUAGUGUAGGACUUAGAAAUCCAGCUCUGGAUGGCUGGCAGGCUCGCUGUCGUUGUGCUGUCACCAUCUGUCUUCUGAGUGGACACAGCUGGGAACAUGAGAACACACGCAUGUGUGUAUACUAGCAAACGCCCACAUGUAUGACUGUACCCGUCAGCAAUGUAGCUUUAUUUAAAAUAAGUGGAGUCUCGGCACCGAUUCCUGUGGAAGUCUUCAGCUGCUUCUGGCCGUCCACUCCCAACAGUGAGAAAUGCCUCCAGACAUGGAACACCAUCUUUGCUCACAGCAGCUACUCCCCCAGUUCCAUCACCCUGCCCCGCCCACCGCUGUGCCUGCUCCCCACUUCUCAGCCCUGUGACUUCAGGCUGACAGCAGUGCCUCCUGAGGCUCCCACCUCCUCAUAACCCUGCUCCCAUGGGUGCCGGGUAAAGCCUCUAGCUCCACGCAGAACUCCUCCCCACAACGCCCCACUUUCUGGGAGCGCCAUCAACAUUUCUCAGCUUUUUUGUCUCGCUCUGUGCUGGUUCUCUACUGAACCCCUUGGACAAGAUACCCUCAUUUUCCACUCCCUUCGCUUACUGCACAGUUUGAUGCUCCUAUUAGGUAAGGAGGAAGACAAGGAGACAGAGCAGCAGGACUGAGGCUGGCUAAGCCCCUAAGCAGAUGCUUGGAACUUUCUAAGCCUGAGCCCCUUGUGACAUCACAAAUGAGCAGACACUGCCACUCCACCAAGUACUCAGGGCUUUGCCUCCAACAUCCCUGACCCUCACGAAGAUUACCGACCUGGGGCUGCCACCUUGCCCCUUCCACGUGGAGGCAGCUCCCUGGUAAAAACUCUUCUCAGGCAUCCAGGUCCACAUCCACCUCUGCAACAAUGUGAACCUUCCUUAUGGACCACAGGGACAAACAGACAGGUUCCUCUGCCCAAGGAGAGCAUGGAUUGUGCUCUACUGUUCUCAGCUCGAAGUGCUGGGCUCAUCAGUAUGGAUUCAAACUCUCCACGGAUUCCAUCGCCCCUUCUCACAGGAACACAAGUAGGCAGAAGAGUCCAGAGAGGCGCCAGAGGGAACCUGCCACAACACAGCCAGUCACUAAAGAGCUAGCUGGCAGUUCUCUCAAAAAGGGGUUGCAACAAGAGAAGAAC